rnacentral:rRNA from 1 species
GAUGAACGCUGGCGGCGUGCCUAAUACAUGCAAGUCGAGCGAACAGACGAGGAGCUUGCUCCUCUGACGUUAGCGGCGGACGGGUGAGUAACACGUGGAUAACCUACCUAUAAGACUGGGAUAACUUCGGGAAACCGGAGAUAAUACCGGAUAAUAUAUUGAACCGCAUGGUUCAAUAGUGAAAGACGGUUUUGCUGUCACUUAUAGAUGGAUCCGCGCCGCAUUAGCUAGUUGGUAAGGUAACGGCUUACCAAGGCAACGAUGCGUAGCCGACCUGAGAGGGUGAUCGGCCACACUGGAACUGAGACACGGUCCAGACUCCUACGGGAGGCAGCAGUAGGGAAUCUUCGACAAUGGGCGAAAGCUUGACGCAGCAACGCCGCGUGAGUGAAGAAGGUCUUCGGAUCGUAAAGCUCUGUUGUUGGGGAAGAACAAAAGUGUAAGUAACUAUGCACGUCUUGACGGUACCUAAUCAGAAAGCCACGGCUAACUACGUG